UUUCAUAUCAACAUCCAGAGUGCAUCAAAAGAAGAUCCGUCUUUUGGUGAGAGAGGGAAUUCAGGUGAGAUUCCUGGGCGAUCCGGUCACUGUAAUCAGGGAGUGAAGCAUAACAAAUCCAUUGUAUGUCCGCAACAUAUGAGAAGGAAUGUGGAACGAUGAUCUGUAAGUCAGGAAACCUGCUCUGUAUGCAUAGGGUUG
rnacentral:ncRNA from 2 species